AGGGUUUGAUCAUGGCUCAGAUUGAACGCUGGCGGUAUGCUUAACACAUGCAAGUCGAACGGAAACGAUGGAAGCUUGCUUCCAGGCGUCGAGUGGCGGACGGGUGAGUAAUGCUUGGGAAUCUGCCUAAUAGUGGGGGAAAACUCGGGGAAACUCGGGCUAAUACCGCAUAAUCUCUUCGGAGGAAAGAGGGCCUCUACAUGUAAGCUCUCGCUAAUAGAUGAGCCCAAGUCAGAUUAGCUUGUUGGUGAGGUAAAAGCUCACCAAGGCUACGAUCUGUAGCUGGUCUGAGAGGACGAUCAGCCACACUGGGACUGAGACACGGCCCAGACUCCUACGGGAGGCAGCAGUGGGGAAUAUUGCACAAUGGGCGCAAGCCUGAUGCAGCAAUACCGCGUGUGUGAAGAAGGCCUUAGGGUUGUAAAGCACUUUCAAUAGAGAAGAAAAGCUUAGAGUUAAUAACUCUAAGCAUUGACGUAACCUAUAGAAGAAGCACCGGCUAAAUCCGUGCCAGCAGCCGCGGUAAUACGGAUGGUGCGAGCGUUAAUCGGAAUUACUGGGCGUAAAGCGCGCGUAGGCUGUUUUAUAAGUCGGAUGUGAAAUCCCCGGGCUCAACCUGGGAACUGCAUCCGAAACUAUUUAACUAGAGUAUGGGA
rnacentral:rRNA from 1 species